rnacentral:tRNA from 2 species
GCCGUCUUAGCUCAGUUGGUAGAGCAGCUGAUUCGUAAUCAGCAGGUCAACAGUUCGAUUCUGUUAAACGGCU